CUGAUUCAGUGGGUACCAUUGGAUAAGAUGAGUCAUGUAACUGCCUGUAUAGCAUCAUCUCCAGAUGUGAGGACAGAGAGGGAGCAACCUUCUUGUGAUCAUGAGGAUGAGAGUCAUAUGAAAAGCAGCAGAGGGAAAAAUACAAGGAGCAUGAGACCCGGAGGGAACCACCAAGCCAGCCCUGGACUUUCUGCCUCUGGACUUUUGACCUGUUCUUCACUCUUACGUGCACACUCCUCAAGGGCAGAGGCCAUAUCUACAUCAAUGAAUGAAUGAAUGCUCAUCUCAUAAAACAUACUGUGAGCUUAGAGACUAUGCUUUUUGCUGAAGGAGAUGUCUGAAGGUGAGUGGAUAGGCAGUCCUUGGAUACACCUGUAUCUCACCUGUAGGCCAGUUCCAUGAACAGGGUUAGGCACACAGCAUCCAUUGUCCUUGCUGUUUCCCAGAAGACAACUUCUAUUCCUCAGUCUUAGACUUUGAGUUUCCACACUUAGACCCUCCUUGUUGCAUUGUAUGUUCCCUGGGUCUCCUCCCGCCUGGAUCAGGAUAGGGUUCUCUUCAGCCUUUCUGGGCUCCCUCAGCACUACCUGAAGCCCACCAAGGCCCCACAGAGAUAUUAGAAACACUGCUCUGCACACUCUAAGCGGUGCUCUGCAGAGGUGCUAUCUUUAGAAACUCAGGCUGGUGGGAUCUCUUGCAAGGCAUGUAGGGGAGUGACCAUAUGGAGGUCACUGGUCUCCACACACUGACCAAGGCUAGGCCUUCUGGGGGUGAAUCUAAUUGUUUCUUAGAAAAUCCUCAGACUUUACUUAGACUUCCCCCGACACCUCACCUUCAGGUUCAAAAGAAAAUGGAGAUAAGGAUUGUAACAGUGCCCAAGGAAGAGCCCUCUAGUCAACAACUUAAUAUGAUUUCAUGGUAUUAAGUCCUUCUGGCCUAGCC